CAAAGAGAUUUAAGAGUUCCACCUGAUCCGGGUUGAUGAUUGUCCAGAAUGGAACAAUCUUCAGCUUCCUGCUCACGGGGACCUUGUGGGACUCGUCCAGACACAAUACUAGAAAAAAAAGGUUGAUCUUCAUGAAGAUCUUCAAACAGUAAGUGUCAUGUAUUUAAAUUGUGGGUGGCCGCCGUGUCCCCACUCGCUCUUUUUCUUAGCGGCUGUGCCUGUAUCUAUUCCAUCCGCAUUGUCCAUUUGAAUUUGCUGAAAACUGUCCAUACUUCCAACAUGGCCACGUUCUUUCUCUUCUCCAGCUUUCCAUCUGCCAUAUAGCUGAGGGUUGUACAUGGAGCAUUAGCCACAGGUUGUUUUCUGCUUGUUGGUUUAAGUGACAUUUUUGGGUGUGUCUGAAUAUGUAAAAUGUUAAUCUGGUCCCUGUGUCUUUGGAACUGAGCUGAGCAAGUGAUUUGUAAGAAUGGGGUGCUGGACUGAUGCAGGGUUUUAAGGUUCUUUGGCAGUUUGUCAUUUGAAGGAUUGCUGAUCAGGGUGUUGAAUAGAGCUUGUGGGUUUGAGAUGUGUGGAUUGAAUGUGCUGUGAUGCUCUGAAAAUAGGAUUCUGCUCAGCAGUUAACAUUGAAGUAGAUAUGCCUGGUUUCUCUUACAGGGGCUGCUGUGCCAAAUCCUAAAAAUGCUUGAUAAAUGAAUGCACUAACAUUUCCUUUUCAGGUCUAUCUACAAAGGGUAAGUCCAUAUUUUUUUUUCCUAUGGGGGGCUACUGUGUUGGCCUUGUGUGGUUAGGUUUUGCAGAUUAGGGGAAUAAACAAAAAAAAAUUCACAUAAAAAAUUAUGUGAUGUCUUGCAUGGCCACUGUGCCAUUAACCCAGUGGUUCCCUAUUAUUUUCUGUCAUA